GUUAUAUUGGAUGCAGCUAACAGUGCCGGUUAUGUAGAACCUGAGAUUGUUGAAGCAGCAUUGAACGUGUUAGUUUGUCUUGUAUGUCCUCCACCUUCAAUCAGCAAUAAACCAUCUGUAUCUACACAAGCACAGCAAACCAAUGCUGUCCAAUCUGCAAACACUCCUGGUGUGGAGACCAGAGACCGGAAUGCAGACCGGAGUGAGACCAGAGACAGAAAUGCAGAGCGGAUUCUUCCAGAUCGAGCUGUUAAUAUCUCCAGUCAGAAUGAAA
rnacentral:misc_RNA from 1 species